rnacentral:tRNA from 1 species
GCCAGCGUAGUGUAGUGGUUUGAGCAAUGGGAUAUGACUCUGGAGAUCAGGGUUCGAUUCCCUGCUCAGCCA